GACGAACGCUGGCGGCGUGCCUAAUACAUGCCAGUCGAACGCUGAAGGAGGAGCUUGCUUCUCCGGAUGAGUUGCGAACGGGUGAGUAACGCGUAGGUAACCUGCCUGGUAGCGGGGGAUAACUAUUGGAAACGAUAGCUAAUACCGCAUAAGAGUAGAUGUCGCAUGACAUUUGCUUAAAAGGUGCAACUGCACCACUACCAGAUGGACCUGCGUUGUAUUAGCUAGUUGGUGAGGUAACGGCUCACCACGGCAACGAUACAUAGCCGACCUGAGAGGGGGAGCGGCCACACUGGGACUGAGACAAGGCCCAGACUCCUACGGGAGGCAGCAGUAGGGAAUCUUCGGCAAUGGACGGAAGUCUGAUCGAGCAACGCCGCGGGAGGGAAGAAGGGUUUCGGAUCGUAAAGAUCUGUUGUAAGAGAAGAACGAGUGUGGGAGUGGAAAGUUCACACUGUGACGGUAUCUUACCAGAAAGGGACGGCUAACUACGUG
rnacentral:rRNA from 1 species